CUGGUUGAUCCUGCCAGUAGUCAUAUGCUUGUCUCAAAGAUUAAGCCAUGCAUGUGUAAGUAUAAGCCCUUGAACGGCGAAACUGCGAAUGGCUCAUUAAAACAGUUAUCGUUUCUUUGAUGACCAAUUGCUACUUGGAUAACUGUAGUAAUUCUAGAGCUAAUACAUGCGGAUGCCUUUCGGGGCUAGCGUUUAUUAGAUACAAAGCCAACAUUUCCUUUUGGAAAUUCUGGUGAUUCAUAAUAACCAAGCGAAUCGGUCUUUUGACCGAUGCAUCUUUCAAGUUUCUGACCUAUCAGCUAUUGACGGUAGGGUAUUGGCCUACCGUGGCGAUGACGGGUGACGGGGGAUCAGGGUUCGAUUCCGGAGAGGGAGCCUGAGAAACGGCUACCACAUCUAAGGAUGGCAGCAGGCGCGCAAAUUACCCAAUCCUGACACAGGGAGGUAGUGACAAGAAAUAACAAUACAGGGCUUUUAGUCUUGUAAUUGGAAUGGGUGGAUGUUAAAUCUAUCCACGAGUAUCAAUUGGAGGGCAAGUCUGGU
rnacentral:rRNA from 1 species